rnacentral:rRNA from 1 species
AUUCCAGCUCCAAUAGCGUAUAUUUAAGUUGUUGCAGUUAAAAAGCUCGUAGUUGGAUUUCGGUUGAGAGCGGCCGGUCCGCCGUUUGGUGUGCACUGGCUGGUUUCAGCUUCCUGCAGAGGACGCGCUCUGGGCUUAAUCGUCUGGACGUGGAGUCUGCGUGGUUACUUUGAAAAAAUUAGAGUGUUCAAAGCGGGCUUACGCUUGAAUAUUUCAGCAUGGAAUAACACUAUAGGACUCCUGUCCUAUUUCGUUGGUCUCGGGACGGGAGUAAUGAUUAACAGGGACAGUCAGGGGCACUCGUAUUCCGCCGAGAGAGGUGAAAUUCUCAGACCAGCGGAAGACGAACCACUGCGAAAGCAUUUGCCAAGGAUGUUUUCAUCA